rnacentral:lncRNA from 12 species
AUGUGUCUCCUGUUCAAACCUGAUUAUUGUGCCAACAUGUUGAUUUAUUUAAUUGCAUUACUAUCAUCAGCUCAAGGUGCCAGAGCGGCAGAAGUCAUCACACCAUACAGUGAUUAUCAGUUUGCUGAUGAGGGUGAGAGUGUGACACUCUCUUGUAGCUACACUGGUUCUGUUCAAGGUCUUCACUGGUAUCGGCAAUAUGCAGGUUCACCACCAAAAUUCCUCAUACUGGAUUAUUAUGGGGCAGUUACAAAAGCUGAUCCUCCAGUUGCUGGAGUCUCAAUCCAUCACAGAAAAUACAACAGUAGUGUGGAUCUGAAGAUCUCCUCUGCUGCUGUCACUGACUCUGCUCUGUACUAUUGUGCUCUGGACAGGGGCGUCGGAUUUGGGGUAAAACCAGUACUGAUUACCAGGGCCCAAAAGGAAGAGAGGGCCCUUGAAAAGUCUGGAAUAUAUUUUAUUUUACCUGGAUUUUUUCAUUUCCUAAUUAAAUUCAGAUGAAAUGUAAAUUUUGUGUAUUGGCUGAAUAACUUGGUUGAUUGACUGACGUCUCAUGAUCCCACCCCCCUUGCUAAUGCGCCAAAUGGUUUAGUCCAUCUGCAGCAGUUUGUUCAUGUAGGGAUUAAAAAACUAAAAUAGUAUGGGGGGGGGGGGGGGGGGGGGGGGGGCCCAUCAGGACUGCCUAUGCAUAGGGCCCAGGAUCUUGUGCAACGCCCCUGGCUCUGGAGCCCACAGUGAAAGGAAAUCCACUGUAUGCUGUACAAAAAGCUGUUUAAAUAAGACUGUCAGAAAGAAAGCGAGAGAUGGGGUGAGGUUUUAUGUACGGUGAAAAAUCACAUAGAUACUAAAGAUAUAUAUUAGUAGAUCCUUGAAACUGUCAUAAUGUGAAAAUGUUCUGUGGCUGAAAGUGGAAGAUUAUCACUUUUAUGAGGACAUAAAUCAUUUAUGCAUAACAUGUGUAAGCACAACCAUCAAAUGAUUGUAAAUAUAAAUUGAAAUGUCAAUAAAAAUAAUCAAUAAAAUGUCAAUAAAAUGUCAAUAAAAAAAUGUCAAUAAAAAUAACUCAAGCAUAUCUACCAUUUUAAAGAAAACAGUAAAGCAACUGGACAAAACAUGCUGUUUUGAGCUCCAACAGAAGGGGGCAACAUUAUCUCACAAGCUGUAUUAUUCACACAAAACAAGCACCUGACGUCUAUAAGAGACACAUUUGAAAGCACAGAACAUGUUUCAUAUUUCACUAACCCACACCCACAUUAUUCAUGCACAACAGAACUUGACUCAGUCUCAGUACUUUCAUUCAACCACCAGCUACUCUCAUAUUUUUAUUCAUUUUAUAAAUUUUAUAAAUAAUUUGGAACUAAUAAAUCGGUAUGUUAAUAACGAUUAUAUAAUAAAUCAAUUUAAUAAGUACUAGAAAUUAAAAAUCUGAUCUUUAAAGUGGACUUCAGUUAAGAUGGAGGAGAGGCAGAUUAUACUCAUAAUGCUCAUCACAGUUUCAGGUAAAUAUACUUUUAAUCAUAGCUAUUUUUAUUUUUGUGAAUCAAAUAAUUCAAUCAAAUAUAACAUUCAUUUUUAUCAAACAAAAAAAAUUACAUGAUUGUAUUUUAAAAUAUGAUUCACUUUUCAGGCGUUUUUGCUGAUAGAGUUGGACCAAGAGAAGGAGACACUAAUAUAAUCAGAGAAGAAGGAGAGUCUGUGACACUGAGCUGCACAUAUGAAACAAACAGCAAUAAUAUUUGGCUCUACUGGUACAGACAAUAUCCAAACAGAGAACCAGAAUAUAUACUGUAUAAAGGCGCUCGAUCACAGAGCAGUGAUGAAAAUAUACCAGAUGGUUUUCAGUCAACUACAUCCCAGUCAUCCACUGAACUUACUAUUGUAAAAGCAGCUCUGUCAGAUUCAGCUCUUUAUUACUGUGCACUUUUAGUAGCCCAGUGUUACAAAAUACCAGAGAAGCUUUACAAAAACUUACAUGAAAUUAAUGCUUUGAAGAGUCUUUAAUCAAUCAGUAUCAAAACACAUCAUGUUUUUAUAAACCACAAACAGUGAAUGUGGUAACAGCUGUGAAUUUAGAAGAUUAAAAAGGUUGCAUAAGGGCAUGUGAAUACAAUUUAGCAUGCAUU